rnacentral:rRNA from 1 species
ACUGACUGGCUCGAUACUGACACUGAGGUGCGAAAGCGUGGGAGCAAACGGGAUUAGAUACCCCGGUAGUCACGCCGUAAACGAUGUCUACUAGCCGUUGGAGGACUUGAUCCUUUAGUGGCGCAGCUAACGCGAUAAGUAGACCGCCUGGGGAGUACGGUCGCAAGAUUAAAACUCAAAUGAAUUGACGGGGGCCCGCACAAGCGGUGGAGCAUGUGGUUUAAUUCGAAGCAACGCGAAGAACCUUACCUACUCUUGACAUCCAGUGAACUUUUGAGAGAUCAAUUGGUGCCUUCGGGAACACUGAGACAGGUGCUGCAUGGCUGUCGUCAGCUCGUGUUGUGAAAUGUUGGGUUAAGUCCCGUAACGAGCGCAACCCUUGUCCUUAGUUACCAUCAUUAAGUUGGGGACUCUAAGGAGACUGCCGGUGACAAACCGGAGGAAGGCGGGGACGACGUCAAGUCAUCAUGGCCCUUACGAGUAGGGCUACACACGUGCUACAAUGGCAUGUACAAAGGGUUGCCAAGCCGCGAGGUGGAGCUAAUCCCAUAAAGCAUGUCGUAGUCCGGAUUGGAGUCUGCAACUCGACUCCAUGAAGUCGGAAUCGCUAGUAAUCGUGAAUCAGAAUGUCACGGUGAAUACGUUCCCGGGCCUUGUACACACCGCCCGUCACACCAUGGGAGUGGGUUGCUCCAGAAGUAGAUAGCUUAACCUUCGGGAGGGCGUUUACCACGGAGUGAUUCAUGACUGGGGUGAAGUCGUAACAAGG